rnacentral:rRNA from 1 species
GCAGCAACGCCGCGUGAGGGAAGAAGGCCUUCGGGUUGUAAACCUCUUUCAGUAUCGGCGAAGCUUGCGGGUUUUCUCGCAGGUGACGNUAGGUACAGAAGAAGCACCGGCCAACUACGUGCCAGCAGCCGCGGUAAUACGUAGGGUGCGAGCGUUGUCCGGAAUUACUGGNCGUAAAGAGCUCGUAGGUGGUUUGUCGCGUUGUCCGUGAAAACUCACAGCUCAACUGUGGGCGUGCGGGCGAUACGGGCAGACUGGAGUACUGUAGGNGAGACUGGAAUUCCCGGUGUAGCGGUGGAAUGCGUAGAGAUCGGGAAGAACACCANUGGCGAAGGCGGUCUGCUGGGCCGUUGCUGACGCUGAGGCGCGAUAGCGUGGGGAGCAAACAGGAUUAGAUACCCUAGUAGUCCACGCCGUAAACGAUGGGUACUAGGCGUCGGGGGGAGCGACCCUCCCGGUGCCGUCGCUAACGCAGUAAGUACCCCGCCUGGGGAGUACGGCCGCNAGGCUG